UCUCGCUCCUAUAAAUUCCAACUCUCUUCAACCCUCUGCAGCCAUAACAGUUCUGUAUUACAGUAAAGGAGAAAUGGAUUCGUGAUAGAACAUUGAAGGAAUUGUAUUCUGGCUUAUUUUUGUUAGAAGAAAGUAAAGUAUGAUCACUAAUAUGAGAAGCUUUGUUGAUGGUAAAUGGUUGUGGAUUUGGCAAUGGGAAAUUAUGCUCAGUGAACCAGAACAUGGGAAGAUUGCUUCAUUGGAAAUGAUUUUGAAAGAUGACUCUCUUAUGAUGAACCUUCAUCACUCAUUAUUUGUAGAGUCAUUUUGAAUCAAUUAUUUAGUUUAUUUAUUUUAAUUUAAUGUUCGUAUUAGAGGUAUUUUAUGCAAUUUUGUUUUGUUUAAUUGGUUUAGUGUAGUGCUAAAUUUUGGUGAAAAAACAUGUCUCAUCUGCAGUAUAUUAAUUAUGUCUAGAGUUGUAGACAUUGAAAUUUAGUCAAAUUAGUUGCAAAUGAAAAUUAACACCCACAGCUACAACUUUCAUGAAGAUAGUGAAAUUCAAUUUGGAUUGUAAAAA